UUUAUGGAGAGUUUGAUCCUGGCUCAGGAUGAACGCUGGCGGCGUGCCUAAUACAUGCAAGUCGAGCGAACGGACGAGAAGCUUGCUUCUCUGAUGUUAGCGGCGGACGGGUGAGUAACACGUGGAUAACCUACCUAUAAGACUGGGAUAACUUCGGGAAACCGGAGCUAAUACCGGAUAAUAUUUUGAACCGCAUGGUUCAAAAGUGAAAGACGGUCUUGCUGUCACUUAUAGAUGGAUCCGCGCUGCAUUAGCUAGUUGGUAAGGUAACGGCUUACCAAGGCAACGAUGCAUAGCCGACCUGAGAGGGUGAUCGGCCACACUGGAACUGAGACACGGUCCAGACUCCUACGGGAGGCAGCAGUAGGGAAUCUUCCGCAAUGGGCGAAAGCCUGACGGAGCAACGCCGCGUGAGUGAUGAAGGUCUUCGGAUCGUAAAACUCUGUUAUUAGGGAAGAACAUAUGUGUAAGUAACUGUGCACAUCUUGACGGUACCUAAUCAGAAAGCCACGGCUAACUACGUGCCAGCAGCCGCGGUAAUACGUAGGUGGCAAGCGUUAUCCGGAAUUAUUGGGCGUAAAGCGCGCGUAGGCGGUUUUUUAAGUCUGAUGUGAAAGCCCACGGCUCAACCGUGGAGGGUCAUUGGAAACUGGAAAACUUGAGUGCAGAAGAGGAAAGUGGAAUUCCAUGUGUAGCGGUGAAAUGCGCAGAGAUAUGGAGGAACACCAGUGGCGAAGGCGACUUUCUGGUCUGUAACUGACGCUGAUGUGCGAAAGCGUGGGGAUCAAACAGGAUUA
rnacentral:rRNA from 1 species